AUGACCGCAAUGGGUUCCCUGAUUCAUCUUGGGCUUGUUUACAGACGGUGUAUAUACGUCAAGUAGGUUGUUCAGCAUUGGCUAAUGAAAGACAAUGAAACCGCCAACAAUCUACAUUUGUAUUUCCUGGUUUUUGCUAGGCACUCGUGGGACCAAAUUGCGUAAGAAAUUUCAGGUUCUAAUUUUAUAAAAUGGGACCAAAAACAAAGCGGCUUCCAGCACCGUUUACCUAAAGCGGUCAUGGUACUCACACAUGGUACACAUUCUUCAACGUUUAUACUUUGAAGUGGAGUAAGUUCAUAACUUUUCAGCAAUCGUAUAAAUGUCAAAGCCAAAAUACUAAAACUAGAUUGUAUGGGGCCACAUUUUAGACUGAUUUUUGGGGCUUCUUUAUCUUCUUAUGGAUAAUUUUGAGGAAUAAUCACGUGGAGCUUAUGUUUACGCUAGGACAAUAUGAGAAGAACGGUACAAAAUACUAAUGGGUUGCAUAAAGCAUGGUCGUGUGUGUGAAGAAUAUUUUGCUUAUGAUCAAUAUGUUGCUAUUGAUAUAGGGCUAUAUUGAUCAUAAGCAAGAUAUUCGCACUCUUUCUACUUUAACAGGAUAGGUAAAUCUCCAUUAGUACUAAAUCAGUGUUGCUAUUUUUUUUACAAAGUACCUAAAUAAUAAAUAAUGUUAUAAAAUUUUACAACAAAGUUGCAUAUUCGAACUAUUGGUUUUUUUAAUCUUAAUACAUUUUGAUCAAAAAAACAAAAUGAGAGAGAUGUGUGUUUUAUUUAUAGAUUUAAACGAAACACUGUCCUAGUUUGUCAAAUUUUGCAUUGUAU